rnacentral:rRNA from 1 species
GAUGAACGCUGGCGGCGUGCCUAAUACAUGCCAGUCGAGCGAACAGACGAGGAGCUUGCUCCUCUGACGUUAGCGGCGGACGGGUGAGUAACACGUGGAUAACCUACCUAUAAGACUGGGAUAACUUCGGGAAACCGGAGCUAAUACCGGAUAAUAUAUUGAACCGCAUGGUUCAAUAGUGAAAGACGGUUUUGCUGUCACUUAUAGAUGGAUCCGCGCCGCAUUAGCUAGUUGGUAAGGUAAUGGCUUACCAAGGCAACGAUGCGUAGCCGACCUGAGAGGGUGAUCGGCCACACUGGAACUGAGACACGGUCCAGACUCCUACGGGAGGCAGCAGUAGGGAAUCUUCCGCAAUGGGCGAAAGCCUGACGGAGCAACGCCGCGUGAGUGAUGAAGGUCUUCGGAUCGUAAAACUCUGUUAUUAGGGAAGAACAAAUGUGUAAGUAACUAUGCACGUCUUGACGGUACCUAAUCAGAAAGCCACGGCUAACUACGUG